rnacentral:rRNA from 1 species
UACAGAGGGUGCAAGCGUUAAUCGGAAUUACUGGGCGUAAAGCGCACGUAGGUGGUUUGAUAAGUUGGGUGUGAAAUCCCCGAGCUUAACUUGGGAAUUGCAUUCAAGACUGUCUUACUAGAGUGUGGAAGAGUGAAGCGGAAUUCCAGGUGUAGCGGUGAAAUGCGUAGAUAUCUGGAGGAACAUCAGUGGCGAAGGCGGCUUCCUGGUCCAACACUGACACUGAGGUGCGAAAGCGUGGGGAGCAAACAGG